rnacentral:tRNA from 1 species
GGACGGUUAGCUCAGUUGGUUAGAGCGCUUGCUCGACACGCAAGAGGUCACAGGUUCAAAUCCUGUACCGUCCACCA